GAGAUUGUUAACCCCCUAAUGGAUUUUGAUGAAUACAAAACACUAGAGUAAAAUUCCAUUAUAUCUUAACAAUUCAAUUGAGAAAUUCAUGUGUUUUAUUUAGAAUAUUGUUAAGAAAUGUCUAGGCAAGUUCCCAUAAUUUUUAUGAAUUUAUUGAAGAAUAUUUUGAGCUAAAGAAAAAGUUCAGGGACAGCCGAGACGUCUCCUGAUAGUUUCAGAGACGUCUCUGGCACAAGCAGGAAGAACU
rnacentral:lncRNA from 1 species